rnacentral:rRNA from 1 species
UCAGUGGCGCAAGGGUGAGUAAUACAUGGAUAACGUACCCCGAACUCUGGGAUAACGGCGGGCCCGCAAGGGUCCUUUGCGAAAGUGCCGCUAAUACCGGAUGAAGCCGCUGGGCCGCAUGGCCCGGCGAUCAAAGACGGCCGCAAGGCUGUCGGUUUGGGCGCGGUCCAUGCCCUAUCAGCUAGUUGGUGAGGUAAUGGCUCACCAAGGCUUUGACGGGUAGCGGGAUUGAGAGAUCGGUCCGCCACAUCGGAACUGAGACACUGUCCGGACACCUACGGGUGGCUGCAGUCACGAAUCUUGGGCAAUGGGCGCAAGCCUGACCCAGCAAUGCCGUGUGCAGGAGGAAGUCCUUCGGGAUGUAAACUGCUGUCAGGGGCUAGCAAGCAACCCCGGUGAAUAAUCGGGGAAGUUGAGCCGCCUCGGAGGAAGCCAUGACUAACUCUGUGCCAGCAGUCGCGGUAAUACAGAGAUGGCAAGCGUUAUUCGGAAUCACUGGGCUUAAAGCGCACGUAGGCGGCCCGGCAAGUGUCGUGUGAAAUCCCACUGCUCAACGGUGGAACGGCACGGCAAACUGCCGGGCUUGAGGUUCGUAGAGGUGCCUGGAACUCUAGGUGUAGCGGUGAAAUGCGUAGAUAUCUAGAGGAACGCCAGAGGCGAAAGCGGGGCACCAAGCGAAUUCUGACGCUGAUGUGCGAAAGCGUGGGGAGCAAACAGGAUUAGAUACCCUGGUAGUCCACGCCGUAAACGAUGCACACUAGAUUCGGGCGUCUCUGACGGCCUCCGAGUCGAAGCAAAAGUGCUAAGUGUGCCGCCUGGGGAGUACGGCCGCAAGGCUAAAACUCAAAGGAAUUGACGGGGGCUCACACAAGCGGUGGAGCAUGUGGCUUAAUUCGAAGCAACGCGAAGAACCUUACCUAGGUUUGAC